rnacentral:tRNA from 1 species
GGUUCCGUGGCUUAAUGGUUACGGCUUCUGUCUCCAAGCAGAAAGGUUCAGGGAUCAAAUCCCGGCCGGUACCA